AGCGUAGAUCAAGUGGUCGCUGAUCCUAAACGGAUCAGAGGAAAGUCCGAGCUCCAGAGGGCAGGAUGGUCGCUAACGGCGACUACCCCUGACAAGGGGUCAGGAAAGUGCCACAGAAAGCAGACCGUCUCUCCCCUCAAGCUACGCUUGAGGGGAGAGAUAAGGGUGAAACGGUGAGGUAAGAGCUCACCAGUCCCGACGGUGACGUCGGGAGCUCGGCAAACCCCAUCCGGAGCAAGACCAAAUAGGAGGGGAACGGGGUGGCCCGUCCCAUACCCUCGGGUUGGUCGCUUGAGAGCGACGGCAACGUCGCUCCUAGAUAAAUGACCACUACUCCUUUCGGGAGCACAGAACUCGGCUUAUGAUCUAGGCACAUC
rnacentral:RNase_P_RNA from 2 species